UAUUCCAUGCAUAAACCAAACCACAGUAUGGAUCAUACAGGACAAACAAAGAAUUUUCCAACUUUUCUGCGAAAGGGAGAGGAAGUUAUAGAAGUAGAACAGAAUGAUCUGCGUUUCCGAAGGACCAGUCAGGCACCAUUUUGGCCCAGCUUCCCAGCAGAAAAGCGCUGCAUUCUGAAGCCGGUCUCACCCUAGAACGACGUUUGUCAUGCACGGCGAGAAGAAAGUCGGAACUGUUAUACCGGAGGCACUCGGCAUCACCAUCGGUACUGUGUGAUGAAGAGGAUGAGAAAGAAGAUGAUGAGAGAAUCAUGGCAACCAGACGGAUGUCCAGGUUGAUGAGCAUGACAGGGGGUACUUCUGAAGGGAAAUUGGACCAAUGGGAGAGAAGACAGAGCAUCAAGAGUAUGGUGGCCAAUAUCCAGA